CCUACGGGAGGCAGCAGUAGGGAAUCUUCCACAAUGGGCGAAAGCCUGAUGGAGCAACGCCGCGUGAGUGAUGAAGGCCUUCGGGUUGUAAAACUCUGUCAUUCGGGACGAACCGGAGUCUGAGGAAAUGCAGACUCUCUGACGGUACCGGAGGAGGAAGCCCCGGCUAACUACGUGCCAGCAGCCGCGGUAAUACGUAGGGGGCAAGCGUUGUCCGGAUUCACUGGGCGUAAAGCGCGCGCAGGCGGUGAUGUAAGUCUGAGGUGAAAACCCGAAGCUCAACUUCGGGACUGCCUUGGAUACUGCGUCACUUGAGGAUAGGAGAGGCAAGGGGAAUUCCACGUGUAGCGGUGAAUGCGUAGAGAUGUGGAGGAACACCUGUGGCGAAGGCGCCUUGCUGGCCUAUUUCUGACGCUGAGGCGCGAAAGCGUGGGGAGCAAACAGGAUUAGAUACCCUGGUAGUCCACGCUGUAAACGAUGAGUGCCAGGUGUAGGUGGGCUCAUACCCAUCUGUGCCGAAGCUAACGCAUUAAGCACUCCGCCUGGGGAGUCGGUGCGAGCUGAACUCAAAUGAAUUGACGG
rnacentral:rRNA from 1 species